rnacentral:lncRNA from 1 species
UAGAACUAGCGCAAGCAAGUCCCACUGAAGUCAAUUUCCUAGAUAUCAGGAUUUACCUUUUAGAUGGUGCCUUUAGCACCACGGUUUUAUAUUAAACCUACAAUCACCCCAACAAUCGUCCCUAGAUGGUCUUUUGACCCAUGGGCAUAUAAGAAGUCCGCCUUUACAUCCUAUUUCCAUAGGUACCUCACCCACUGUAGCAAUGGAAGCCUCCGCACAGCAGAAUUGAUGAGGAUCUACAUGAUUGGGAGAAAGCAUGAGUUACAGCUACAGAUUCAUGAGAAAAUCAUUUUAGAAAAAUAGAAGCAGAACACGG